rnacentral:lncRNA from 1 species
GUUAUAUAUGAGAAUAAUUACAUUAGAUGUAUGUUUCAUUAUAAUACUUUAUUCUGAUUGGCUAACUGCACAUCACGUGUUAUUCCGUAAGCAGUUGCAUUGCUCAAUACAACUUUUUAUUCAUGAUAACACGUGGUCCAACAAUAAAGUGCACAGGUGAACUAAAUAAAAAAAAAUACAUAAAAUUCGUGUUUUCAUGAUCA